GAGUUUGAUCCUGGCUCAGGACGAACGCUGGCGGCGUGCCUAACACAUGCAAGUCGAACGAAGCUUGACGAAUGAUUUCUUCGGAAUGAAAUCUGAUAUGACUGAGUGGCGGACGGGUGAGUAACGCGUGAGCAACCUGCCCUUCGGAACGGGAUAGUGUCUGGAAACGGACAGUAAUACCGUAUAACGUAUUUUUACCGCAUGAUAGAAAUACCAAAACUGAGGUGCCGAAGGAUGGGCUCGCGUCUGAUUAGAUAGUUGGUGGGGUAACGGCCUACCAAGUCGACGAUCAGUAGCCGGACUGAGAGGUUGAACGGCCACAUUGGGACUGAGACACGGCCCAGACUCCUACGGGAGGCAGCAGUGGGGAAUAUUGCACAAUGGGGGAAACCCUGAUGCAGCAACGCCGCGUGAAGGAAGACGGUUUUCGGAUUGUAAACUUCUGUUCUUAGUGAAGAAUAAUGACGGUAGCUAAGGAGCAAGCCACGGCUAACUACGUGCCAGCCGCCGCGGUAAUAC
rnacentral:rRNA from 1 species